UGGAGCGGUGAAAUGCGUAGAUAUCGUUUGGAACGCCAACGGUGAAAACAGGUCGCUGGGGGCAAGCUGACGCUGAGACACGAAAGCCAGGGGAGCAAACGGGAUUAGAUACCCCGGUAGUCCUGGCCCUAAACGAUGUCCACUAGAUCGUGGUCCCUCUGACGGGAUCACGGUCGAAGCAAAAGUGCUAAGUGGACCGCCUGGGAAGUACGGUCGCAAGGCUAAAACUCAAAGGAAUUGACGGGGGCUCACACAAGCGGUGGAGCAUGUGGUUCAAUUCGAAGCAACGCGCAGAACCUUACCUGGGCUUGACAUGCCUGGAUUACCCCGGUGAAAGCCGGGUAGGCCCCGCAAGGGGUACAACUGGCACAGGUGCUGCAUGGCUGUCGUCAGCUCGUGUCGUGAGAUGUCGGGUUAAGUCCCUUAACGAGCGAAACCUUUGCCCUUAGUUACCAGCGGGUUAUGCCGGGGACUCUAAGGGGACUGCCGGUGUCAAACCGGAGGAAGGUGGAGAUGACGUCAAGUCCUCAUGGCCUUUAUGCCCAGGGCCACACACGUGCUACAAUGCGGCGCACAAAGGGAGCCUAGAACGCGAGUUCAUGGGAAUCUCAGAAAUCGCCGCCCAGUUCAGAUCGGAGGCUGCAACCCGCCUCCGUGAAGUUGGAAUCGCUAGUAAUCGCGGAUCAGCUACGCCGCGGUGAAUGUGUUCCUGAGCCUUGUACACACCGCCCGUCAAGUCAUGGGAGCCGGAAAU
rnacentral:rRNA from 1 species